CCAGACUCCUACGGGAGGCAGCAGUGGGGAAUAUUGGGCAAUGGGCGCAAGCCUGACCCAGCGACGCCGCGUGGGUGAAGGAGCACCUCGGUGCGUAAAGCCCUAUCGGCAGGGAAGAAACAGACGGUACCUGACUAAGAAGCCCCGGCUAACUACGUGCCAGCAGCCGCGGUAAUACGUAGGGGGCAAGCGUUAUCCGGAUUCACUGGGUGUAAAGGGAGCGUAGACGGCGACGCAAGUCUGGAGUGAAAGCCCGGGGCCCAACCCCGGGACUGCUCUGGAAACUGCGGCGCUGGAGUACGGGAGGGGCAGGCGGAAUUCCUGGUGUAGCGGUGAAAUGCGUAGAUAUCAGGAGGAACACCGGCGGCGAAGGCGGCCUGCUGGACUGCGACUGACGUUGAGGCCCGAAAGCGUGGGGAGCAAACAGGAUUAGAUACCCGAGUAU
rnacentral:rRNA from 1 species